rnacentral:piRNA from 1 species
AGCAGGAGGAAGGCAGAGCUCUGAG